ensembl:misc_RNA Metazoa_SRP Metazoan signal recognition particle RNA
GCUGGGCGUGGUGGCUCACGCCUGUAAUCCCAGCAUUUUGGGAGGCUGAGGCAGGUGGAUCACUUGAGGUCAGGAGUUUGAAAUCAGCCUGGCCAACAUGGUGAAACCCUGUCUCUA